UACGGAGGAUGCAAGCGUUAUCCGGAAUGAUUGGGCGUAAAGCGUCCGCAGGUGGCUAUGUAAGUCUGCUGUUAAAGAGUGAGGCUCAACCUCAUAAGAGCAGUGGAAACUACAUGGCUAGAGUGCGUUCGGGGCAGAGGGAAUUCCUGGUAUAGCGGUGAAAUGCGUAGAGAUCAGGAAGAACACCGGUGGCGAAAGCGCUCUGCUAGGCCGCAACUGACACUCAUGGACGAAAGCUAGGGGAGCGAAUGGG
rnacentral:rRNA from 1 species